rnacentral:lncRNA from 1 species
UACGAUAAUUUCUGAAAGAGAUAAGUGUUCUGAAGAAAUGAAAUCAGGAGAAUGGAAUAGAGAUAUGAUGGAUAUUAGAGAAAUCCUUGCUAAGAAGACAUAAAUAAAGAAAACGUAACAACCUGGUGAAGAGAUUAUUUCAAGGCACUUUCACUCAUUCAUUCAUGCCCAUUCCAUUCCUACCUCAGGACCUUUAUACCUGCUGUCUCUUUUACCUGGAAGAAGCAAAUUAUGUAACCUUCUCGAAACUCAUUUUGCUUAAGAUUGCUCAUGUCUGUAAAGUGUCAGGGCUGGAACAAAAAUCAAAGCUCUAUGACACAAAGUUAGAUUUGUGGGGUCAUGAGGGAAACACCCACCUUAAGAGCAGGUUUGGAGGAUUAGAUAGAAGUUCUCUAUGAACUUGACCACAAUAGCUGAUAUCACAGCACAGUUUCUCCUCUCUCAGUAAUAAAGACUCAGAUCAAGGCAGCAUCUCUCUGAGCAAGGAAUGAGGAUCCUUCUAUAGAAAAGCUGGGACCUGGCUAGUGUGUCUACUGAACUGCUCUUUCAAAGUUCUGCACUCCCUCCACACGGGGCUUGAGUUUCCAUAGACAAAAAAACAUAACAUGGUCACCAAAGAGAACCUUCAGCAUUGUUUCUCCAGCAACUGAGACUCCAGUGAAAAGUACACCUUCCUGGGAACCAGCACCCAACCUAUCCUGGACCAGGUCUCCCAGCCAAUGGUGCUGCUCGGCCUGGCCCAUGGCAGGAGCUCAGGAAAUGUCAGAUAAAUGAUUGAAUUUACAAGAACAAGCCCAACAGUUAAGAAAACUUCAGCUCCUGCCUCCUGCCCAUGCAGCCCAGAAGGGCCAGUUUCAUGCCAUGUUUGAUUGCCGCUCCGGUCCCAGGAGGGAUGGAAUCUGCUGUCUCACCAAGACUUGGGCAUGAGGCUGGCCUUCUCCAGAAGCUCCAGGCCCAGAGAAACAAUACAUCUAACCAAAGUCCCCCAGGGAGUCUUGGCACACAGUUGGUGCUCAGUGGACAUUGGAAUGUUUCAACAGCCAUGUCUCCUUGUUGCUGAACUGAGCAACAUCCAUGGACAUCCAUGGGACAGAUGGUUCUCUCUCCAGCAUGGAAUCAGAAGGCCUGGUUUCAAGUUCCAGGACUGUGCCUCAUUCAUUGUGUGUUGCUGGCUGAGUCACUUAACCUGCCUGAGCAAAGAACAGAGAAGCAGUCAGAUUUGGAAUCCACUGGGGAGGCAGGGUUUGUAAAACUUGUUGAUUAAAUGAACAAGAGUAUGUGGGAAUGAGAAGAAUCAAAAUCUAAGCCAAGCAUCUGGCCUGAACAGCUGGGUGGUCAGUGAACCCAUUUCCUGGAAUGAAGAAGAUGGGAAUGCAGGGGUGUUUUUGGAGUGGAGUUUGGGUCAAGAGUUUGGAUUUCUAUGUAAUGGAAGUUGUGGGCAGCCAUUGGAAGGAUAUUGACUUUCCUUCCAAGGAGCUGGAGAGCUUCUUAGAGGCCUUUGUCACACCUACCUGGUUCUCCCAGCUCUCUCCAGCUAACAGCCCAAGUCCUUCUCUCCGGCUACAUGACCCUACACAGUAUGGUCCCCACUGCCUCUCUGCCCACUGCCCAUAGGACUCCUUCUUGCUCUCUGUUGGCCCCUGCUCUAGGAUGUGUCCCUUACUUUCUCAGCAGGACCUUCUCAUCUCCCAGAUACCCACCUGGCUCUCCCAUCACCUCCUUCAAUCUUUGUCUAAAUGUCACCUUCUCAAGAAAACCAAGCCUGGCCACUCCACUCUCUGCAAAAAUAGCAAAACUCUACCCUUCCUCUCUCUAGUAUCCCCUGUCCCUCUCACUGGGUUUAUUUUUCUUCAAAGUACUUACCACAUUCUAAUUCACUCACACCUAGAAUCUCUGCUUCCUCUCACUUGAAUAUAAACUUCAGGACGGCAGGGAUUUUUGUUUGCUUUGUUCACUGCUGUAUCCCCACAGCCGAGAAUGGUGCCCAGCAUGUAGUAGGGCAGGGAUUUUUGUUUGCUUUGUUCACUGCUAUAUUCCCACAGCCGAGAAUGGUGCCUAGCAUGUAGUAGGUGCUCAAUAAAUAUAUGUUAAAU